UUCCUGGUAGCUCAAAGGGUAAAGCAUCUGCCUGCAAUGAAGGAGACCCAGGUUUGAUCCCUGGGUGGGGAA
rfam:TPA: Bos taurus chromosome 17, whole genome shotgun sequence.